UGGGUGGAUUAGUGGCGAACGGGUGAGUAACACGUGAGUAACCUGCCCUUAACUCUGGGAUAAGCCUGGGAAACUGGGUCUAAUACCGGAUAGGAGCGCCUACCGCAUGGUGGGUGUUGGAAAGAUUUAUCGGUUUUGGAUGGACUCGCGGCCUAUCAGCUUGUUGGUGAGGUAAUGGCUCACCAAGGCGACGACGGGUAGCCGGCCUGAGAGGGUGACCGGCCACACUGGGACUGAGACACGGCCCAGACUCCUACGGGAGGCAGCAGUGGGGAAUAUUGCACAAUGGGCGAAAGCCUGAUGCAGCGACGCCGCGUGAGGGAUGACGGCCUUCGGGUUGUAAACCUCUUUCAGUAGGGAAGAAGCGAAAGUGACGGUACCUGCAGAAGAAGCACCGGCUAACUACGUGCCAGCAGCCGCGGUAAUACGUAGGGUGCGAGCGUUAUCCGGAAUUAUUGGGCGUAAAGAGCUCGUAGGCGGUUUGUCGCGUCUGUCGUGAAAGUCCGGGGCUUAACCCCGGAUCUGCGGUGGGUACGGGCAGACUAGAGUGCAGUAGGGGAGACUGGAAUUCCUGGUGUAGCGGUGGAAUGCGCAGAUAUCAGGAGGAACACCGAUGGCGAAGGCAGGUCUCUGGGCUGUAACUGACGCUGAGGAGCGAAAGCAUGGGGAGCGAACAGGAUUAGAUACCCUGGUAGUCCAUGCCGUAAACGUUGGGCACUAGGUGUGGGGACCAUUCCACGGUUUCCGCGCCGCAGCUAACGCAUUAAGUGCCCCGCCUGGGGGAGUACGGCCGCAAGGCUAAAACUCAAAGGAAUUGACGGGGGCCCGCACAAGCGGCGGAGCAUGCGGAUUAAUUCGAUGCAACGCGAAGAACCUUACCAAGGCUUGACAUGUUCUCGAUCGCCGUAGAGAUACGGUUUCCCCUUUGGGGCGGGUUCACAGGUGGUGCAUGGUUGUCGUCAGCUCGUGUCGUGAGAUGUUGGGUUAAGUCCCGCAACGAGCGCAACCCUCGUUCCAUGUUGCCAGCACGUAAUGGUGGGGACUCAUGGGAGACUGCCGGGGUCAACUCGGAGGAAGGUGAGGACGACGUCAAAUCAUCAUGCCCCUUAUGUCUUGGGCUUCACGCAUGCUACAAUGGCCGGUACAAUGGGUUGCGAUACUGUGAGGUGGAGCUAAUCCCAAAAAGCCGGUCUCAGUUCGGAUUGGGGUCUGCAACUCGACCCCAUGAAGUCGGAGUCGCUAGUAAUCGCAGAUCAGCAACGCUGCGGUGAAUACGUUCCCGGGCCUUGUACACACCGCCCGUCAAGUCACGAAAGUUGGUAACACCCGAAGCCGGUGGCU
rnacentral:rRNA from 2 species